CCCACAUGAUAUACCACCUCCUCCAUAUCUCCAUAUGUACACACAGGUAUCACAACAUGCACAUACUUAUCUAACAAAAUCACUGGCAAAAGAAGAGGGGACUAAGAGAAAAUACACACACAAUAAAAAAGAGGUAGAAAAUGGAAAAAGAAAAAUACCAAAAUUGAGAAGAGAAAUAGUGAGGAAAAAAGGGAGAAAGUAGACGCAGACAACAAAAACCAAAGUGAAA
rnacentral:lncRNA from 1 species